GCCCCCAGUGGUACAAUGGGUCAGUGUGUCUGGCUGUUAACCAGAAUGUUGGUGGUUUGAGCCCACCUAGGGACA
rnacentral:tRNA from 1 species